rnacentral:rRNA from 1 species
AGUGAACGCUGGCGGCGUGCCUAAUACAUUCAAGUCGCACGGAGUGGCGCACGGGUGAGUAAUGCCUAGGAAUCUGCCUGGUAGUGGGGGAUAACGUCCGGAAACGGGCGCUAAUACCGCAUACUAUCAGAUGAGCCUAGGUCGGAUUAGCUAGUUGGUGGGGUAAAGGCCUACCAAGGCGACGAUCCGUAACUGGUCGGAGAGGAUGAUCAGUCACACGUGAACUGAGACACGGUCCAGACUCCUACGGGAGGCAGCAGUGGGGAAUAUUGGACAAUGGGCGAAAGCCUGAUCCAGCCAUGCCGCGUGUGUGAAGAAGGGCUUCGGAUUGUAAAGCACUUUAAGUUGGGAGGCGUUACCAACAGAAUAAGCACCGGCUAACUUCGUGCCAGCAGCCGCGGUAAUAC